GUCAUUAUGUCUCUCUUUAACUCACUGUCGUCUGGGACACACACCCUGUCCUGGAAUCAGAGUAACCCAUCAGCAGAGAUUCGAAAUUCUGAGCUCACUCCCUGUUCUGCAUCAUUCUUGCGGGCUACCAGGGCGGGGUCGACUGACUGGGCUUCCCUUAUUUUCUGUAUUAACUUGGGCUGGACGGUCAGACGGCCCAAACAUGCGACUCUCUUCAGGUCCUGAAGCCGAACCUGUUGUGUGACCCUAAUUUGCCUACGUUCUGAAACCAUUAAAUGGGCUAAGAUACCUGCACUUUUCCUGCUGAG
rnacentral:lncRNA from 1 species